CCAACUGUUGCUGCCAAAUUCCUUGCCUGAGGUUAGAGAUGAUCCCGUCAGUUGAGGUGACAAAGUUGUGCUAAGGCGAUGAUCUCCGAAGGCCGAUCUAAGAUCUUGGCCAGAGUAUUUUCUAGCAAGAACCCUCCAACACUCAAGUUAGGAGAUGGAGAAUAAAAAAAAGGAGAGAGUAUUGUAUAGAGAGCUUACC
rnacentral:lncRNA from 1 species